AUUGAACGCUGGCGGCAUGCCUUACACAUGCAAGUCGAACGGCAGCACGGGAGCUUGCUCCUGGUGGCGAGUGGCGAACGGGUGAGUAAUACAUCGGAACGUACCCUGGAAGUGGGGGGAUAACGUAGCGAAAGUUACGCUAAUACCGCAUAUUCUGUGAGCAGGAAAGAGGGGGAUCGCAAGACCUCUUGCUUUAGGAGCGGCCGAUGUCGGAUUAGCUAGUUGGUGAGGUAAAGGCUCACCAAGGCGACGAUCCGUAGCGGGUCUGAGAGGAUGAUCCGCCACACUGGGACUGAGACACGGCCCAGACUCCUACGGGAGGCAGCAGUGGGGGAAUUUUUGGACGAAUGGGCGCAAGCCUGAUCCAGCCAUUCCGCGUGCAGGAUGAAGGCCUUCGGGUUGGUAAACUGCUUUUGUACGGUACGAAACGGUUACGUCUCUAA
rnacentral:rRNA from 1 species